UAAAUAUUGGGGGGGGGGGGGGGAGAGAGAGAGUGAGAGAGAGAGAGAGAGAGAGAGAGAGAGAGAGAGAGAAAGGGAGUUUCCAGAGAGGCAAAGAAAAGGAAGAGAUCUCAGAGAAAAGGGAGAGAUCCUGGCAAAAAGAGAGAAGUCCCACAGCAGAAAAAACAGCAGAAAUCUCAAAAGUCCCUUCAUCCAGAACCUGAAAUUGCCUCCCUGCCUUAUUUGGAUUUUUCUACACGUUAAAUGGCCUCCCAGCCCUUAUGGAGAAGAAAUUUAUGUCCAUGAAAACCAUUCUGAGUGUGAGGCAACCAAAGUGGAAGGGGAUUUCUAUGGCUGUGAACCUUUAUAUGGAGAGACUUGCUGUGGAGACCACUGAGGAUGAAAUAGCUGGUGGCCAUCACUCAUUGCCUGGAAUGAUGUCAGCUGGGGCACCAAAGCAACCCAGGAGAAGGAACUGGUCCAACUGUUUACAUAGUCCCAAAGUUGUGGUUUGCUACAGAUUCUAAGAGAAACUCUGAACCAAGCUAAGUCUUUUAUUAAAUACGGUUCAAGGCAACAUUAAGUGGACUUGUGGCAUGUAUCCACCACAAAGCUGAUUCGCCUCCCUGCUUCAUGGUGAUGUAUUCAUUCUAAUACUUCAAUGGAAUAAAAUUAAGGAAGCAUAAAACUAUGCUAUUAAUUGUAGAGACUGGGAAAAGUUCAAAAUGCAAGCAAGUGAAAAUGCCUAAAAAUAAUUACAUAACAAGAUAAUGGUGUAUACUUGAAUUCCAAUAAAGUAUUUUACAGGAUAAAAUGUAAAGUCAAGAGAAUACAACAUACAUAUUGGAUUGUAUCUAGAGUGAAUCAUGCUUCAAGUAGACACCACUGACAUUUAUCUGACUGGUGAUAACUGUCACUAACUUGUCUCAUUGAUUUUACUCAGAGAUUUUAUACUAUUUGGCUUGACUUUGGAUCCAACCCUGUUUUUGUAAAGCAAACAUAUUGCUAAUUUGUGAAGUAUUUCUUUAUGCACUAUAUUUUCUAACUGCUAAAAGUUGUCUUAAUAAUUUCUUUCUGGAUAGUUCUUGACCUCUGUCUCCUGUAAUUUAGUAAUGGAAUCUCAAAUUCAGACUUAUUUCCCUUCAAGUAUUAUUGAGCGUGUCACUGUGUGCAGCAGACAUUGGAGAACUGACAUCUAGGCUGUUGGCACAUCUAAAAUAAAAUGACAACAUACUAGCUCCAAGCUGAGAACAGUGUGUGUUUGUUUCUUUUUCUUUUCUUUUUUUUUGGGGGGGGGGCAAAGAAUUGUCUUUCCAUUUCUUUUUGUUACUCAGUUCUGAGUAUUACGCAAACUAACCAAAAUAUAUGAAUCUAAUGCUUUGCUAUUUUUUUUAUCUAGCCUAAUACGGGGAGAGGCCAGACACAAUUUUUCUUUCAGAGAUUUUUGUCUUCUUAAUCUAUAAAACAGGGCUACUGUGAAGCUCUCUGCAGGUCUCAGAAUCAGCAUACAAAUAACCAAUAACCUGUUUUCAUCUGAGAGAUGUAGCAGUCAGUGGCAAUAUAAAGAUGCACACAGAAGUCAUACUGAGUGAAUACAAA
rnacentral:lncRNA from 11 species